rnacentral:rRNA from 1 species
AGCGAACGCUGGCGGCAGGCCUAACACAUGCAAGUCGAACGGAUCCUUCGGGAUUAGUGGCGGACGGGUGAGUAACACGUGGGAACGUGCCCUUUGGUUCGGAACAACUCAGGGAAACUUGAGCUAAUACCGGAUGUGCCCUUCGGGGGAAAGAUUUAUCGCCAUUGGAGCGGCCCGCGUCUGAUUAGCUAGUUGGUGAGGUAACGGCCCACCAAGGCGACGAUCAGUAGCUGGUCUGAGUGGAUGAUCAGCCACACUGGGACUGAGACACGGCCCAGACUCCUACGGGAGGCAGCAGUGGGGAAUCUUGCGCAAUGGGCGAAAGCCUGACGCAGCCAUGCCGCGUGAAUGAUGAAGGUCUUAGGAUUGUAAAAUUCUUUCAGCGGGGACGAUAAUGACGGUACCCGCAGAAGAAGCUCCGGCUAACUUCGUG